GACGAACGCUGUUGUGCGUGCUUAACACAUGCAAGUCGAACGGAAAGGCCCUGCUUUUGUGGGGUGCUCGAGUGGCGAACGGGUGAGUAACACGUGAGUAACCUGCCCUUGACUUUGGGAUAACUUCAGGAAACUGGGGCUAAUACCGGAUAGGAGCUCCUGCUGCAUGGUGGGGGUUGGAAAGUUUCGGCGGUUGGGGAUGGACUCGCGGCUUAUCAGCUUGUUGGUGGGGUAGUGGCUUACCAAGGCUUUGACGGGUAGCCGGCCUGAGAGGGUGACCGGCCACAUUGGGACUGAGAUACGGCCCAGACUCCUACGGGAGGCAGCAGUGGGGAAUAUUGCACAAUGGGCGGAAGCCUGAUGCAGCAACACCGCGUGCGGGAUGACGGCCUUCGGGUUGUAAACCGCUUUCGCCUGUGACGAAGCGUGAGUGACGGUAAUGGGUAAAGAAGCACCGGCUAACUACGUGCCAGCAGCCGCGGUGAUACGUAGGGUGCGAGCGUUGUCCGGAUUUAUUGGGCGUAAAGGGCUCGUAGGUGGUUGAUCGCGUCGGAAGUGUAAUCUUGGGGCUUAACCCUGAGCGUGCUUUCGAUACGGGUUGACUUGAGGAAGGUAGGGGAGAAUGGAAUUCCUGGUGGAGCGGUGGAAUGCGCAGAUAUCAGGAGGAACACCAGUGGCGAAGGCGGUUCUCUGGGCCUUUCCUGACGCUGAGGAGCGAAAGCGUGGGGAGCGAACAGGCUUAGAUACCCUGGUAGUCCACGCUGUAAACGGUGGGUACUAGGUGUGGGGUCCAUUCCACGGGUUCCGUGCCGUAGCUAACGCUUUAAGUACCCCGCCUGGGGAGUACGGCCGCAAGGCUAAAACUCAAAGGAAUUGACGGGGCCCCGCACAAGCGGCGGAGCAUGCGGAUUAAUUCGAUGCAACGCGUAGAACCUUACCUGGGUUUGACAUGGAUCGGGAGUGCUCAGAGAUGGGUGUGCCUCUUUUGGGGUCGGUUCACAGGUGGUGCAUGGCUGUCGUCAGCUCGUGUCGUGAGAUGUUGGGUUAAGUCCCGCAACGAGCGCAACCCUUGUUCACUGUUGCCAGCACGUUAUGGUGGGGACUCAGUGGAGACCGCCGGGGUCAACUCGGAGGAAGGUGGGGAUGACGUCAAGUCAUCAUGCCCCUUAUGUCCAGGGCUUCACGCAUGCUACAAUGGCUGGUACAGAGAGUGGCGAGCCUGUGAGGGUGAGCGAAUCUCGGAAAGCCGGUCUCAGUUCGGAUUGGGGUCUGCAACUCGACCUCAUGAAGUCGGAGUCGCUAGUCAUCGCAGAUCAGCAACGCUGCGGUGAAUACGUUCCCGGG
rnacentral:rRNA from 1 species